UGCAGUCGAGCGGUAGAGAGGUGCUUGCACCUCUUGAGAGCGGCGGACGGGUGAGUAAAGCCUAGGAAUCUGCCUGGUAGUGGGGGAUAACGCUCGGAAACGGACGCUAAUACCGCAUACGUCCUACGGGAGAAAGCAGGGGACCUUCGGGCCUUGCGCUAUCAGAUGAGCCUAGGUCGGAUUAGCUAGUUGGUGAGGUAAUGGCUCACCAAGGCGACGAUCCGUAACUGGUCUGAGAGGAUGAUCAGUCACACUGGAACUGAGACACGGUCCAGACUCCUACGGGAGGCAGCAGUGGGGAAUAUUGGACAAUGGGCGAAAGCCUGAUCCAGCCAUGCCGCGUGUGUGAAGAAGGUCUUCGGAUUGUAAAGCACUUUAAGUUGGGAGGAAGGGCAUUAACCUAAUACGUUAGUGUUUUGACGUUACCGACAGAAUAAGCACCGGCUAACUCUGUGCCAGCAGCCGCGGUAAUACAGAGGGUGCAAGCGUUAAUCGGAAUUACUGGGCGUAAAGCGCGCGUAGGUGGUUCGUUAAGUUGGAUGUGAAAUCCCCGGGCUC
rnacentral:rRNA from 1 species